GUUUUUGUUUGUUCAUCAGAAUAUCAUGCAGCUCUUUGCGUUUGUGUGUGAGACAUAGAAAUACUCAUCAGUUCUGAAGCAGAUCAUCGUCAGCACAAAACUUUGGAUUCAUUUGGCUAAAGUCCCAGGUGCUGGGGAAUGACCUGCUCAUCGGUCACGGGGUGAAAUGUGGAGGCGCCUGGAAGACGAUGAUGUUGAAGCAUCGCUCCAGACUUCAAGCUGCUCUGGCAAGAAUCAAAGUCAAGAGAAAUGUCACUCGAAAUCAAAUCCUGCUGCACUCCAGUUUCCAGACAGGAUGAUGCAAUUCCACUCUGUGUGGGUGUAUACUCUGAAAACAACUCUUGAUGAUGUCAUCGACAACGAUCAUCAAUGACAUCAUUCCCAAAAUAUUUUUUUAUCAAGGAAUAGCAAGUUGGUAAGAUGUCCUCUGCAUGUCACAAGACAUUUUGAGUAACUUCUUCAGUGAAUAGCUUUAGAAUGACAUGAAGGAAAGGAGAUGAUGACUGAAUGUUGCCUGAACUAUUUCUUUAACAGUGCACUAAAAGUGAUUUAUUUUUUAUUUUUAACAAUUUCCCAUUUCUUCGUCUCUGACUUCCGAAUCUCCAUUUUCUGUCUGGGAGGGCAUUUAUUUCUGUGUGAUCUUCAACUCCAAGAUCUUCUGGUUUUCAGUGCAAUAACAGACUUUCACAAUCACUUCCUUUAUAAAGCAGGACACAUUAUAUUGCAGGAAAUUAUAGAACAUUAUACUAGACCUACCUACAGUUUGCAAAACAUGACAUGAGUCGAACCUCAUUUUAUCUUGCUCCAUUGAUCUUGAUGCCAAACGUCUGUCCACUAUGAGCACUCUUCUCCUUGGCCGGGGGUCACAUGUCAUCAGCUGGCCAAUCAGGAUUUUCUGAAAGUAGAUCCACAGAGCUCAGAGUCCAAGGAAGUCCAGCAUAUUCUUCCGGACCCCUCCUGCAGUGGAUCAGGCAGUUGUUGUGUAUAAAGGAAUCAUUGUCUGUCUCAGGGGUGGUUUGUCUGGGGGAUGAGGUCUCAGAGCCGCAGGAUGACGGGCGUCUGCAGGUACUGGCUACAUUUCAACUGCACUGUCUCAACCACGCACUGCAGUUCCCUCAGGUACAGGACUAGUCCAUUUUCUUCCAAACUGGCCUGAGAGGCGUCAUGAGCCUUUCAUCCAGUGCCUUCAUGCCAGCACAGCAAAAACACGCACUCAUGGGUUCUUUGUGGCCAUGCUGGAGAGAUGAAUGAAUACACUAUUGUUCAAACAAUUGGGCAGAACGUUGCCGUCUAGCGGUGAGGAAAAGCAGGACAUGCAUCAAUCUGGUCCCAUCUGAUGAGGCACAAGAAAACACAGAGACUGCAAUCGAUCAACAGACAAAUCCAAGCUCAAAGAAAAGGAAGAGAAACAGAAACAAGCACAAAAAGCUUCUCCGCUAACCCACCUCUUUAUUGAACUGUGAUGAAUGAUAUGUUUUAACCAGAAGUCAAAUUCAUUAUUUAGAAAUGUGCGAGUUGUCUGUCAUGCACUGAAUGCUAGAUGAGCAGAAUUAAGAUCCACAGCAAGUCAACUUUACAUUUUUAUUGGAAACCAGCAUGUCAUUAUCAGAGCAUUAAGCAGACAACACAAUCGGUGCCGCUUCAUUCAGAACUCCAUUCAUGCUUUAUGAGGGUUAGUGGGAAUGGUUUACACACAAACUGAGCAUUCACUAACAGCAACAUCUGAAAAACAUACAACUAGGUACAACUGUUCUCAAACAUUCACAGCUUGAGAAAUUCAGCUCUCAUCUCAACAUACAUCUCAUCUUCUCAACAGUCUUCACAACUCGCUUGUAUUUGGUAUGGCUUUCUAAUAAACAGAAAGCCUGGGCUCAUGCCUCCUUGCAUCAGUCUGGGCAUGAGUAUACUUUGAAAAUGUCAUUAAUUACAAACCAAAUUAUCUCAUUAAGACUGAAGUGAGAAAUGCCAUGCAAGGGUGGACAGAGAUGGCUACAUCAUUGUAAAAACAUUUGCUGUCCCAAAUUCAGAUUUUUCAGGUCAAAGAAUAUGAAGGGAGUACAAAAAAAAACUAAAA